rnacentral:rRNA from 1 species
AGGGCACCACCAGGAGUGGAGCCUGCGGCUUAAUUUGACUCAACACGGGAAAACUCACCCGGCCCGGACACUGGAAGGAUUGACAGAUUGAGAGCUCUUUCUUGAUUCAGUGGGUGGUGGUGCAUGGCCGUUCUUAGUUGGUGGAGUGAUUUGUCUGGUUAAUUCCGAUAACGAACGAGACUCUAGCCUACUAAAUAGAUCGUCGGCUUACAAACGCCGGCGAGACUUCUUAGAGGGACAGGCGGUGAUUCAACCGCACGAAACAGAGCAAUAACAGGUCUGUGAUGCCCUUAGAUGUCCGGGGCCGCACGCGCGCUACACUGAAGUGAUCAGCGUGCUUUUUCAACCUACUCUGUCAAGAGUGGGGAACCCAAUGAACCUUCUUCGUGAUUGGGAUAGGGGAUUGUAAUUAUUGCCCAUGAACGAGGAAUUCCCAGUAAGCGCGAGUCAUUAGCUUGCGUUGAUUACGUCCCUGCCCUUUGUACACACCGCCCGUCGCUACUACCGAUUGAAUGAUAG